UGGGGCUUUGUUGAUCUGAUAUUCUGUAUUGGGCCGGAGAUGGGGAGGGACAAGGGGCUCUCUUUAUGUCUCUCCGUAUAGAAUUGAGUCAUCAGGAAAGUGCACUAUCCCCUGUCUGGCCAGGCUUUUGAGCCCACCUGCGUCCUGGCACUGAGGGUAAAGCGGUAGCGCGACACGGGGUCUGCUCUUUGCAUCGUGAACUUGGUCUGAUUGGGAGAGAAGUUUUCCACUAUCUGCUUUCCUAAUUUGGUUCCAUUAACUGGGGAGAGAGAGUGUCCUACCGAAUUGAUGUCCUAAAAAGAGACCGAUCCCUUCCAUUCUGUCCCCAGUUGUCCAUCAGCCAACUCUCAAUGACCUGUGAGUCACAGAACCUGCAGCAUCCCAUGCCUACAGCCUCUGUCACUUCCCAGGCAACUUUUAAAUAAAGCUAUGUGUAAGGGAGAGCCUGGCAUAACCUGUUUUUCUU